rnacentral:lncRNA from 1 species
GGGGGGGGGGGGAGAGUGAGGAGGGGGGGGGGGGGGGGGCGGGGGUAUCGUCGAAAAGUCACGGGAUGGUGAUCGGGAAGUCGCUGACCGAUCAACGUCGACGAUGAGGUGGAAGUUUACUUUUAUAAAAAUAAUAAAAUAAAUAAAUUUGUUGAAAAAAAUUCCUUACUUUUUUUAUACAGACUGUUAAAUCUGUCAAAAUGUAAAAAUUUGUGAAAUCUAACAAUUGAAGAUCAUCUGAAUAUCCUGAAACUUUUUUUGCAUGAAUUUCAAACCUGCUCCAAACUACCAUAAUAUUUAAUAAACCAUAUAUUUUUGUGUGAAUUUAAUAAACAUUUUUUUGUGAAUUUAAUAAACCAUAUGAUAUGGAAUAUAGUACCGAAUUAGUCUCGAUUCACCCAUGCCUAGUGAAGGGUCUUGGCCCCCUUUGGGCCCAAAAUACUACUAAGGCCCAACUACCAACACUGUUUAGGCCCAAUUCAAAAUUCAUGAUUUAUAGUGUAUAAAGAAAAAUCACCAUUUGAACUUAUUCAUGGUCGAGACUAAUUGAAUUGUGAUUCCAAUAUUUUAUAAAAAAGAUAAAAAUUAUCCAAUUUAGAUAUUCGGAUUGAAGCGUACCUCAUCAUGUGAAUUGCUUAAGAGUUCAAGAUAUAUCUUGUCUCAGGCAUUCUGAUCUAAUUUUUCAUUUCUCAAAUAUCGCAUCUAAAUGUUCCUUAUUGAGUAUUCCAUCCUAGGCAUAUCACCAUGACAUGUCCAUAGCAUGUCAAUAUGAUACUUAGAUAAUAAGAGAGAGUCGCCACAAGGUAAGCUACACUGAACAAGCCUUUUAACGAUUAUUGUAAGGUUAAUCAUACUAUGUAUUUGAUUCUCUUUAUCCGUUUAUCCUUCUCAUAAUACUUAUAACAUGGUGGUUAAUUCAUGUCCAUUCGAAAUAAACCAAGACCUAUUUAACAAUUUUCGCCUAACCUCCUUAAAAAUAUUAAUCAAUACCCUAAAUCAGAAUCUAUUAUUGAUAAAAAAAAUUCAAUCAGACGAGACGGAACAAUUAGCACGCUAGAAAGGUGGUUAACUCGGAACUCUAAGACAGGAAAUCUGUCAACCCUUUGGACUUCCCAAGUUCAUUUCAUUAUUGUUUUUUUCUCCAAAGUGUUCAUCAUUUUUGAAACCGAAAGGAAGAGAAAACCUUUGAAAGUCACCACCUUCCCAUCGCCUCUCUGCUUGUGUGCAACACACUCACACUAACCUUUCCUGGCUCCCAUCUCUCUCUCUGUGGUAAUAAUCCUUAUGACAUAACUCGUAAUUACAUAUACAUAUAAAACAGUAAUUCGUAAUCAGAAGAUUCAGAACACAGGAGAGAAAGGGAAGGAGAGGGAGGAACAAAAAGAGAAGAACAAAAAGAGAAGAACAAAAAAAGAAAAGAGAAACAGAAUGGAAAAGGGAGAGAGCCAUUAGCUUAGCUGCCCAACCUCUUAUUCUUCCCUUGUUGUUGCUACUGUGAGGGCCUUUCUUCUCCUCCUCUAUCAGAUCUUAGAUAUUCUGGAUCACUCUUCCUCAUCUGGCUUCUCUUUCUCUCCGAUCAACUAGCUUUGCUCGAAUCUCUAUCAUCUUCCCCCAGCCAGAAAAGAACGGAUAAAAAGUGAGUGAAAGAGAGUGAAAGCCUCCUCUUUUCUGUGUAAUUCCGAUCUGGGUUUGGAUCUUAUUACACAUUUCUAGUUCAAGUUUUGUUCUUUGCUUCAUUUGGAUUGCUGGGUCGAUCGGUUUCUUUUGGACCUCUUUCCUCUAGGAUUGAAUCAGUUAAGAGUACCCACUUGAAAUAUUCUAUCUCUGUAUAUAUCUGAGAUUUCCUGCUUGAUUUCUGUAUCACAAGGUAUUCACCAUUUCCUUCCACCCACAUUUUGAUGUUUGGCCUAUCUGGAUUGUGUUUGAUCGAGUUGCUCCUCCCUAAACAUGUGUUGAGUCGUUGAAAUGAUUGUUCUGUAGACUGGAUAGUGUGUUGGUUGACGGAUCCCGAUGUUUAAUUAUCAGAAUUGAGAAAGGCCAUGUAGUCUUGUCGAAUUCUUCAGGGUUCUGAUUGGUUUUUCUGGCUUAAAAUUUGAAUUUUUGUAUGGCAGGAUCUGGAAUGGAUCUUGGAAAGCUUUUCAUUGGCGGAAUUUCAUGGGACACAAAUGAAGACCGGCUUAGAGAGUAUUUCCAGGCUUUUGGGGAAGUCUUAGAAGCUGUGAUCAUGAAGGAUCGGUCCACUGGACGUGGCCCUGGUUUUGGAUUUGUUGUGUUUGCUGACCCUGCUGUUGCUGAGAGAGUUGUGGUGCAGAAGCAUCUCAUUGAUGGUAGAACUGUAAGUUGAAAGAUGCUACCUUCUUUCUUCAAAUGAUUUCACGAUCUAGUUCGGUCUUGUGUCGUUACUAUUUGAAGGCAGUGUCUUUGUUGCAAGCGAACUCUUUUUUGUAGCUUGUGGUGUAUUAGAGAAAGGGAUUGAUUUGAUCAUGAAACUUAACAAAUGGCAUUGAAGAUGUUUUGAAUUAUGGAGUUGAAGCUCUAGAGGUUUUUCGUUUUACAAUACUUGGCUGCUUGUUCAGUGUACAUUGAGCAAUUUGAAGGUGUUGAUGAACAUGAAUUGAUGACCCUAAAAUUGCUAAAUCGUGGAGAAAAUGAUGAGUUGAGAAAUUGUUCUCAGAUUAUAGGACUACAUGGACUAUCUAGAUUGAAAUGGAUUGUAGGCUCGAAGUAGUUUAAGUGUGAGUUAGCGCACCCUAUCUUUACUGGUUCUAGUUAGCGCACCCUACCUUUUUUAGGCUUCUGAACAAUUUGAUAUCGACGAGAUUAGCAUAUCUGAGAAAUGGUCCUGGCAAAAACAAGAUUGUCUCAACUUUCAGAGAACAUAAUAUACAUCUGUAAACGAUAAUCUUUGUUGAUCUCAGAUGACAUUGAAGGCUGCAUGCUAUAAUUACCAUAAUUUGGCUGUCAUCUUUUUAUUGACAAGGUUUUGGUUACCAGGUUGAGGCGAAGAAAGCAGUACCUAGGGAUGAUCAGAACAGUCUGAGCAGAAGCAACACAAACAGCAUUCAAGGAUCUCCUGAUCCUGCUAGGACAAAAAAGAUUUUUGUAGGAGGUUUAGCGUCCACUGUGACAGACAGUGACUUCAAGAAUUAUUUCGAUCAAUUCGGUACAAUCACCGAUGUUGUGGUUAUGUACGACCACAACACACAAAGGCCAAGAGGUUUUGGAUUUAUUACUUUCGAUACUGAGGAAGCUGUGGAUAAAGUGCUGCACAAAACAUUCCAUGAACUCAAUGGAAAAAUGGUGGAGGUCAAGCGUGCUGUUCCAAAAGAGCUAUCCCCUGGGCCAACCAGGAACCAAUUAGCUGGAUAUAAUAAUGGCAUGAGCAGAGUCAAUAGUUUCCUGAAUGGUUAUUCUCAGAUUGGAAGUCCUGGACUUAGAAUGGACAGCAGAUUCAGUCCGAUUACUGCCAGUCGAAGCAGCUUUUCUCCUUUCAAUUCUGGUUAUGGAUCAGGUUUAAAUUAUGUGCAGGGACUGAGUCCAAGUUACGGUGGUAAUGGUAAUCUCAGCUCUAACAUAGGCUUUGGAAGGUUGAGUCCUUCAUUCAGUGGAAGUCCAAGCAGGUACGCUGCCCCCAUUGGUUAUGGGGCUGGCAAUGGGAUGAACAAUUCUGUUUCUCGUACAUUGUGGAGCAACGAUAACAUUCUAAACAAUUCGAACUCUAACGGUACCAACGCAUUUAUGAACACUGGAGGUUGGAACUCGGGUCUGGGCUCCUUUUCCAGUUCUGCAGGAGCUCUUUGGGAUCUCUCCCCCAACAUUGGCCAAGGAGGUGGUAAUGGCUCUGUCUAUAACAAUGGCAGUGGGGACUUUAGUGUUGGUCUAGGAGGAGGAGCAGGUUAUGGAAGAAAUAGUGGGACAAAUUUCGCACCGGGAUCAUCCCGUGCUGGUGCGAACGGGGGUUAUGAAAAUGCUUACGCUGACAACAUUUAUGAAAACGGUUCGCUUUACGGAGCAGAUCCCUCUUGGCGAUCUUCUUCAGCUUCUGAGUUGUUUGAUUUCGGCAUCGGAAAUGCAGCUUCCGAUGUUAUUACUAAGAAUCCCGCUCCUUACGCUGAUGGUUAUAGCAUCGCUGAUAGACAGAAGAUGUAAGUGCUUUUUAUAUGAGACUUACUGAUACGGUUUAGUGAUAGUGUUAUGCUCUGUAUUAUGUUACUGAACUGGUUUAUCAGCAAUACUUGUUGCAUCACCCUUAUCUGUCUCGGUUAUUUUAGCAAACUUUCAUGUAUGACAACAAGAUCAUUGAUUUGCUGGCUGAAACUGGUCUUUUUCUUUGGUUUUGUCUGGUAUUCUGUUUCAGGAAUGGCAGCUUAGGAUCAAAGAAGGAUUAUAGGUGAAAGAAAGUAAUACCAUCAUAUUUGAAGUAAAUUUGGUACAUUAUUACCUCUUCUGGAAAAAAACGAAAAAAACACCCCUUUUUGUUGUUUGAGACGAUCUCCAAUGCAUAGUCUUAAAUGGUCAAAGUGCUAAAUUAUAAGAUUAAAACUCCUCCAAUGCAUAAAGUUAAAAUCUCUGAUAUGAGUUCUAAAUAUAAGACUAUAUAAUUGAAAUAAAACACCUUUUAACUAUUCUAAAAUAUCGAAUUUAAGAUUUUGAAAUAGCCAUUUAAAACUUAACAUUGAACAUGAUCUUUAAAUUAGAAACCAAUCCAUUUUAUCACUUAGUGUUAUCAAAAUGAUGAAUAGGGAGAGCAGAGAACAUUGAGUCGGAAGGAAUUUCUUGUGUAAGGUUUGAGCUUUCGAGGGAGUUUUAUUUUAAUAUAUAUAUAGGCGGGGUUCUUAGUUCUUACAUAUCCAUUUUCUUUUGCUAGAGAAAUUGAGUUGUUAAGAUGUACAAUCAGAGUUCGAGGGAGGGUAUACAUCAGGAAUACUGUACCGGGGAAACCUAGAUUAUAAGAACAAGAAGAUUUUUGUUUUACUGGGUUUUUUCUACAUGCUUGUUUCUUUCUUUGGAAGCCAAUGGUUUUACUCUGUACUUGUUCAUCAAGUUAAAAGAGCUGUCCUUUUGGCGACAGCACAACUGUUAGUCCUUGUCAAGUGCGGAGUCUGGGUUUCUUGAUUACCACUUCACUUCCGCAAUGAUUGAAAAUUUGGUUUUCAAUUAAUUGAUAAUGAUCUUCAUAUUCUACGAAUUGGUCACUUGAUUAUAUCUUUUCCUACAUACUUAUUCAUAGCUUUCAUACAAACAAUUGGAAAAAUGCACAUGUUUAGUUAGUUGGUAAGUAGUUUAGCUCUAUUUUCCUUCAUUGUUCAUGGUCUGGUCUCCAAUCUUGUUGGUUGAAUAGUGGACUCAUAUUAGUAUUGUAAAUUGAGUAGAACUUUAAGAAUACGACCCUGAAAUUUCAUAUAACUAUUUGGUGUGGGCUUAAAAAAACAGUAGCAAUGUUUAAGGGAGAAAGUAACUCAUGCUCUUAGAGCAUGACAACUACCCACUAAGUUAGCUUCGAUCAGGAGGAUGAGAUCAUAUUAGGUUUCUUUAGUGAGAUAAAUGGAUUCGAAUUAGUGGGUAAAAAUAGGAUAAAUGAGUGUCUACGUUAAUCCGAAUGAACAAUGGAUAUCAAUGAUUAGUAUCUUCGAUUAUUCUGACCCGUUACAAGUUAUCUAUAUUAAUUAUCCACAAAAAAAUAAUGAUAGAGGGUGUAAGUACUCUCAAUCACCGCAUAAUUAACUCUAUUUACACUUGGAAUAAAACAAGUUUCAUUUAAAUGGACCAAAAUCCUACCCUGCCCAAUUUUAAAUAGAUUAGAUUUUGAUCCAUUCAUUUGAUUUGAAUAUUUCAUUUUAUGUAAUCUAUUAGGAUGAAUCGGAGGGAUAUUCAUAGAUCUGGACAAAACUGUCACCUCGUAAAAAACAUUUAUGAUUAAUUGACCAUUUUGUACAAAAACAAAGUUAGUUCAUCAUUUUGUAAGAGGUUAUAGCCUAUAGGAAGGUGUGACUACUAAUCAAUUGAAAAACACAAAUUUCAUUCAAAAACAUGGGUGACUUAAUAUUUCACAAUCAAUUAUAGUUAUCAUGAAUUUGUCAUCAAUUCUUUGAUUCAUGAUAUCGUUUCAUAUCAUAAAAUUGGCGACUUUAGUAUACUACCAAAAGUAGAAAAAAAACCACUUUACAGAGUAAAACCAUUGGUUUCCAAAGAGGGUAAUAGUAAAAUCAUUGCAGGCAGCCGUAAUUUAGAAAUCCGCACUUGACAAGGACUAACAGUUGUGCUGUCGCCAAAAGGACAAAUCUUUUAACUUGAUGAACAAGUAACAACCCAGAAAACAAGAAAGAUAUAGAAAAACACCGAACUAAAACAAAAUCUUCUUGUUCUUAUAAUCUAGGUUUCCCCGGUACAGUAUUCCUGAUGUAUACCCUCCCUCAAACUCUGAUUGUACAUCUUAACAACUCAAUUUCUCUAGCAAAAGAAAAUGGAUAUGUAAGAACUAAGAACCCCCACCUAUAUAUUAAAAUAAAACUCCCUCGAAAGCUCAAACCUUACACAAGAAAUUCCUCCCGACUCAAUGUUCUCUGCUCCCUAACCAGUUCAGUACCAUAAUACAGCAUAAACCCAUCACCAAAUUAACCGUAUCUGUGCAGAAUACAAAGCACUUACAUCUUCUGUCUAUCAGCAAUGCUAUAACCACCGCCGUAAGGCGCAGAAUUCUUAGUACUUAGAUCAGAAGCUGCAUUUCCAAUUCCGAAAUCAAACAACUCAGAAGCUGAAGAAGAUCGCCAAGAGGGAUCUGCUCCGUAAAACGAACCGUUCUCAUAAACGUUGUCAGCGUAAGAACUUUCGUAACCCCCGUUGGCGCUAGCACGAGAUGGCCCCGGUGCAAAAUUUGUCCCACUGUUUCUUCCAUAACCUGCUCCUCCUCCUAGACCAACACUAAAGUCCCCACUUCCAUUACCACCACCUCCUUGGCCAAUGUUGUGGGACGAAUCCCAAAGGGCUCCUCCAGAACUGCCAAAGGAGCCCCCCAGCCCCGAAUUCCAACCUCCGGCGUACAUAAAUGCGUUGGAACCGUUAGAGUUUGAAUUGUUCAGAAUGUUAUCGUUGCUCCACAAUGUACGAGAAACAGAAUUGUUCAUCCCAUUGCCAGCCCCGUAACCAAUGGGGUUUCCAUACCUGCUUGGAUUUCCACUGUAUGAAGGACUCAACCUUCCAAAGCCUAUGUUAGAGCUGAGAUUAGCAUUGCCACCAUAACUUGGACUCUGUCCCAGCUCGAAAUUUAAACCUGAUCCAUAACCAGAAUUGAAAGGCGAAAAGCUGCUUCGAUUGCCAGUAAUUGGACUGAAUCUGCUGUCCAUUCUAAGUCCAGGACUUCCAAUCUGAGAAUAACCAUUCAGGAAAUUAUUGACUCUGCUCAUGCCAUUAUUAUAUCCAGCUAAUUGGUUCCUGGUUGGCCCAGGGGAUAGCUCCUUUGGAACAGCACGCUUGACCUCCACCAUUUUUCCAUUGAGUUCGUGGAAUGUUUUGUGCAGCACUUUAUCCACAGCUUCCUCAGUAUCGAAAGUAAUAAAUCCAAAACCUCUUGGCCUUUGUGUGUUGUGAUCGUACAUAACCACGACAUCAGUGAUUGUACCAAACUGAUCGAAGUAAUUCUUAAAGUCACUGUCUGUCACAGUGGACGCUAAACCUCCUACGAAAAUCUUUUUUGUCCUAGCGGGAUCAGGCGAUCCCUGAAUGCUGUUUGUGUUGCUUCUGCUCAGACUGUUCUGAUCAUCCCUAGGUACUGCUUUCUUCGCCUCAACCUGGUAACCAAAACCUUGUCAAUAAAAAGAUGACAACCAAAUUACUGUAAUUACCACAUGCAGACUUCAAUGUCAUCUGAGAUCAACAAAGAUUAUCGUUUACAGAUGUAUAGUCUGUCCUCUGAAAGUUAAGAAGCUAUAGAAGAUAAAAUUAACACCUAAUGGCUAAUAUACUGUAUGUAGCCCUAUCAUUGAGAACAACUUCUCAACUCAUCAAUUUUUCAUUAACACCUAAUAUUGUUCAAUGAAUACAGAGCAAGAAUCCAAUUAUCGUAAAUAGAAGACCAUUAAGUUUUAAAUUACAAUUCAACUCAAUUUCAAGUUCAGUCAAAGCCAUGCUAAAUCCACCUGGUCCAUACCAAGUUUCAUGAUCAACCAAAUCCCUUUUUCUAACAACUAGGUGGAUUUAUCAUGCCCUUGACUAAACUAUUAAGUGUUAACGAGAAAAGAUGAGUUGGGAAGUUUUUCUCAAUGAUAGUGCUACAUACAUUGCACAGAUUGGCAGGGAUAAGUGAUGAAAAUCGAUUGUAGGUUCCACGUAGUUGAAGUACUAGUUAAGUCUCUAUUGGUUCUAGUUAGCUCAGCCUACCUCAAUUUGAUGUCAAUGAGAUUAGCAUAUAUGUAUGUUUACUUCAAGCUGCAAAAGAAGUUCGAUUGCAACAAACACAAUGCCUUCAAAGACUGAUGACACAGGGCCAACCCGAAUUGUAAAUUUAUUUGGAGAAAAAAGUUAUCUUCUUGAACUUACAUUUCGGCCAUCAAUGAGAUGCUUCUGCACCACAACUCUCUCAGCAACAGCAGGGUCAGCAAACACAACAAAUCCGAAGCCACGGGCACGUCCAGUGGACCGAUCCUUCAUUAUGACAGCUUCCAAGACUUCCCCAAAAGCCUGGAAAUACUCUGUAAGACGGUCUUCAUUCGUGUCCCAUGAAAUUCCACCAAUGAAAAGCUUUCCAAGAUCCAUUUCCAGAUCCUGCCAUUCAAAAAUUCAAAUUUUGAGCCAGAAAAACCAAUCAGAACCCUGAAGAAUCCGACAAGACUACAUCGUCUUUCCUCAAUUCUGAUAAUUAAACAUCGGGAUCCGUCAACCAACACACUAUCCAGUCUACAGAACAAUCAUUUCAACGACUCAACACAUGUUUAGGGAGGAGCAACUCGAUCAAACACAAUCCAGAUAGGCCAAACAUCAAAAUGUGGGUGGAAGGAAAUGGUGAAUACCUUGUGAGACAGAAAUCAAGCAGGAAAUCUGAGAUAUGUACAGGGAUAUAAUAUGUCAAGUGGGUACUCUUAACUGAUUCAAUCCUAAAGGAUAUUGGUCCCAAAAAAACCGAUCGACCCAGCAAUCCAAAUGAAGGAAAGACCAAAACUUGAACUAGAAAUGUGUAAUAAGAUCCAAAACCCAGAUCUCAAUAACACAGAAAAGAGGAGGCUUUCACUCUCUUUCACUCACUUUUUAUCCGUUCUUUUCUGGCUGGGGGAAGAUGAACCAAAAGAUAUAGAUUUGAGGAAAGCUAGUUGAUCGGAGAGAAAGAGAAACCAGAUGAGGAAGAGUGAUCGGAGAGAAUAUAUUAAGAUCUGAUAGAGAGGACGAGAAGAGGCCUCACAACAGCAGCAGCAACAACAAGGGAAGAAUAAGAGGUUGAGCAGCUAAGCUAAGCUAAGCUAAUGCUCUCUCCCUUUUCCUUCGGUUUCUCUUCUCUUUUUUUCUUCUUUUUUUCUUCUUCCUCCUCCUUCCCUUUCUCUCUUGUCUUCUGAUUACAAAUUACUGUUUUAUAUCUCAAUUGGGAUGUAUAUCUAAUUAUUUAAUAAAGGAUCUGGAUUUGGUAUUACCAGAGAGAGAGAGAUGGGAGCCAGGAGGAAGUGUGAGGAGACAAAAGGGCCGAAAGGUUUGUGUGUGUUGUUUACAAGCCGAGAGGCGAUGGGAAGGUGGUGAAUUUCCAAGUUUUUUUCUUCUUCUUUCGGUUUCAAAAAUCAAUGAACAAUUUGGAGUAAAAAACAACGAUGAAAUGAAUUUGGUAGUCUUAAUCCAA